AAAAAAUGAGUGUGAGGCCUGCAUGGAGAAUGGAUGAAACAGGAAGCAGGAAGACCUUUUGGAUAGUAGAGUAAUUGCUGGCAACCAAGGAAGAAAGCUCCGCCUGAGGCAGGGGUGGCUGUGAGCAGAGGGGAAAUUGGGAGCUGCACAGAUUCUGAGUGCGGGCAGAAGGACAACAACUGGCAGGCCGGCUAGCUCCUGCCUGCCCCACCCUUUCCCCCUACAGCUCCUGGAAAUGCUCUCCUGACAGAGCCUCCUCCCAACUCUCUGGGCUCAGUUCACAGUUACCCCUUCUGAGUAUCCCAAGCAGAACCAGCUCUUUUUCUGUGCUCCUGGAGUGCUUUGGAUCUACCUUUAAAAAAAAAAAAAAAUAGCAUUUCACACUCUUCUGCAAUUGCUCUGUGUCUGUUUCCCCAAAAAGCUGAGCGCUCUCAAGGCAGAACUUUACAUCCUAUAUCAGAAGUUUCCUCUUACAUCUCCCAAAUAGCAUCUGACCUGUGAUGUCAUUAGCCCAUGUUUGUUGAAUAAACAGCCUCAUCUCUGGCCUUGCAAGCCUGUCGCUCUCUCUCUCUGAGGAAGUGGCUAACCCCCAGCCACCCUUACAACGGACAAAACGUCCUAUGGCUAGACAGCAGCUGAUCUGGGCAGGGACAGGCAGGGGACCAGCACACCGCAGAGUCAUCGCCCUAAAGCCAUGCUGUGGACCUGUGCCCUCUUCCACCUAGCCAUCUGCUGGGCAGGGGUCUCUUUGGAUGUAAUUUUGGAAUCAGAGACCAAAACACUGACUGUCCUCCUUGGGGAGCCUGCCACCUUCCGUUGCAACGUAACUGGAGGGAACUGGAAGAACUAUCAGAUGAGUUGGUAUAAGAAGAAUGAGAAUAACGUCUUAACUUUGGUAUACAGACUAAGCAAUAAUUCUAAUGAAAAUGUAAGGGGUAAUUUCCAAGGGAAAAUUGAUACUUCAAAAAAUCAAUACGUACUCAACAUUCAAAAAACAACAAUAAAAGAGGUUGGAACUUACUACUGUGGAUCCGACAUCCACAGUGCUACAGUCCUGAUUCUGAUCGCCUCAGAUCUCCCCGAGUCAAACCAAGGCAGCAGAUCCAACAAGAGACCAUCUUUAGCUAAAAUGAGCACCACCCCUGAGGUAAAACCACAUUUUAACCUCAACAGGAACAUUUGAUAAGAGAGUCAGGAGUUGAGUUGGGGCCUUAUCUUUGUAGUUGGUGGAGAGGGACUUUCUUUAUCAGCCAAAGUGGUCAGAAAGGUCUGUUAGGGUUUGUACAGAGAGACCAAGGGGACCCUGCUUCUCUCUCACAGACUCCUGAGAAAAGACUUGGGGGGGGGGGGGGGGAAACAGCUUUCAAUACUGAGAAGUUCCUCUCAUUGUGGAGAGGCUGAGAUGAACAUAUUUCUACUCUAGGGAGUGCUUGCUGUAUAUAAAGACUCAUCCCAGUGUCUUUAUCAUGAAAGCCUUUGUGUGCAUAAACCAGAUAAAGCAAUGAUGGUUUUCCAUUACCAUCCUAAUCAAAAUUUCCAAAGCUAUUAGAGAUAGCUUUAACUCCUAGUCUGUGAUGAAGGAUGACUACACUCAUUUUCUGAGAUGCUCCCUAACUAUUUCAGGUAUUGAAUGUUUACAUCUUCCCUUAGCGACGGAGGAGCCCAGGGGACUCAUUGGGGAAUGCAGGGAGGGAUAGCACAUGGCCUUCUGUUAUGUGGGUUGCCAAGAGAGAUUUUGGAGACAAAUAUUUGUGGCAAUGUGGGAUUUCUGAGGUAGUCAUAAAUCAACUGAAUUAAAAAAAAAAAAAAAAUAGACCCCUGAGCCACAAGUUGAAAUGGAGGAGACUGAAGUAUCUGGAACUAGAGGAAGUCAAGGCCUGGAGGCACCACUGAGCAAACUGAAGGGCAGGAGGGAUUAAAGACACAAACAUUUCAUAAUCAUCAAGAGAGCGCUUUCAUCCUAUUGGCCUUAAUAGCCCUCUCUUUGUUUUUCUGCUCAAGUAUCUGUCUGGAAUCCUCUGCAUACAUAAGGUUAAAAGUCAGGCAUUAGGAUACAGAGUAGAUGCGAAUGUGAAAACUACAGCUUUCCUCAUGCCUCUUCCCAAUAUUCUUUCCAAUGUUAUCUUCAUCGCACAUUUAGUUACAGGGCACUUACUGUGUUUAUAAUAUUGGUAUAGGUCAUGGGAAUAGAAAGAGUUCUGUGUUAACUUCUAUUUUAAAUUGUAUUCUCAUCAAUGGAUUUAUAAUUUAUUUUAGAAGACAGAGCAUUAGAAAUUACAACUAGAGAUAUGAAUAAAUGAUUAAAAAAAUACUAGCAAGUACAAUCGAACAGUGAGUGCUGUGACUUCACAUGCAGUGUUCCAGGAGUUCAUGAAAGGACAAUCAGUAUGAGAAAAGUUUCCUAGGAUAGCUAAGGUUUGCAAAAGUUGGGACUUGGAUAAGUGGGAAGGAAGAAGAAGGAUAUUUCAAGGUGAGUGUACCAGGUAUCUACCUUUAUAUAAUGAAUUACCACAACACAGAAAGGUUCAAAGCAUUUAUUAUCUCACAGUUUCUAUGGGUCCAGAAUCCAGGUGUGUCUUAGCUGGGUCCUCCAGGGUCUCCCAUCAGGCUGCAGUCAUGUCAAGCAUCUGCUGGAAGAGAAUCGACUUUCAAGUUCACUCAUGUGGAUGUUGGCAGAAUUUGAGUCCUCAUGUAGACUUCUCCACAGGUUCCAUCAUAGCAUGGUACUUACUUCCCUACAGCAAAGGAGAGAGAGCAUCCAAGGUGGAAGGCACAGUCUUUUGGAAACAAUCUUAGCAGUGACAUUCCAUCGCAUCUGCCACAUACCAUUUAGUAGAAAUGAGUCAGUAAGUACAGCCCAUACUCAAAGGAAGGAGAUUAUGUGAGAGCAUGAAUGAAUACCAGGAGGUAGGGCUCAUUGAGGGCUGCCACAUCAGAGGCUUCCCACCACCAGGGAUUAAUGCAGCAGAACAGGGAAAGAGGGAGCAAAAGCUCUGCUUGAGACCAACUUGUUUAAACCCUCCUGGCUACACGACUAACGAGAUUUGAUUUUAUAUUAUAAGCCAAAUUUUCUCAAACUUUUUUGUGUAGGCAAAGCACUAAGAGAGAUUGUUUCCAAUCCAAUUCUGCACCCAGUCUACAAAGAUUCUAAUUUGGCAUAUCUGGGGGCAGGCCUAGGAACAUGUAUUUAUAACAAGGACCCUGGGUGAUUAUGAUGCAGGUAGUCCAAGGACAUGUCUGAGAAAUUCUGCUAUAAGCAGAAAAAGAACUGUUGGAUAUAUCCAAGUUCUUCUGCCCUGAUGACAGAGAAAUGGGCAUUAGAUAUGAUCAAAGAAUCUCUUGAACAAUGGUUUUUAA